rnacentral:rRNA from 1 species
UAUGUGAUCGUCUCUCGCAUAUCAAUAAGCGGAGGAAAAGAAACUAACUAGGAUUCCCUUAGUAACGGCGAGUGAAGCGGGAAGAGCUCAAAUUUGAAAUCUUCAAGGUUUUACCUUGACGAAUUGUAGUUUAAAGAAGUGUUUUCUGUUGAAGUUUUCGGUAAAAGUUCUUUGGAAUAGGACAUCAUAGAGGGUGAGAAUCCCGUAUUUGACCAUUAUUUUCAGCUGUGUGAUACACUUUCAAAGAGUCGGAUUGUUUGGGAAUGCAGUCCAAAAUGGGUGGUAAAUUUCAUCUAAAGCUAAAUAUUGGCGAGAGACCGAUAGCGAACAAGUACCGUGAGGGAAAGAUGAAAAGAACUUUGAAAAGAGAGUUAAACAGUACGUGAAAUUGUCAAAAGGGAAGCGUUUGACACCAGUGUUGUUUUCUCGAAAAUCAAUUAAAAAGAGUUAGAUUUUGUUGUGUAUUGACCUUAACAGCUUGCAUUUCAAUUUUCUUGCUUUUUUUAAUGCACUUUUCGUUUAACAAGUCAACAUCAGUUUCUUUUGUUGUAAAAAGGUCAUUGGAAGGUGGCUUUCUUUUCGGAGAAAGUGUUUAUAGUCCUUUGACUCCUGCAAUCGGAGAGACUGAGGUCUGCAGCGUAGAUCCUUCGGGGUUAGAUACAUUUGUGCUAAGUUAUAGCUUUUUAUAGACAACUUGUUGACUAUGAUUAGUCUUGUAGCUUACUCGCUUAUGCUAUUUUACCUACGCUUAGGAUGUUGAAGAUGUAGCACAUCAU